rnacentral:snoRNA from 1 species
GUUCCAAAGACGAGAGAAACGCUGUGCACCAGUCUGAACGUGCUAAAAUGUACUCUAGCACUCUGAAGCAUUAAGUAUACCCAAAUUUCUGAGGAAC